rnacentral:RNase_P_RNA from 1 species
GCAGUUGGACGGCUUGUCGCUGGCCCUUUUUGGGGAAAGAGGAAAGUCCGGGCAACAAAGGGCAUCCCACUUGUUAACGGCAAGCAAUCCGCGAGGGUUGAGCAGUGGAGAAGAAAAUAACCGCCCCUUCUUCGGAAGGAGGUAAGGGUGAGAAGGUGAGGUAAGAGCUCACCAGCCGUGUGGUGACACACGGGCUGUCUGCCUUGGGAGUUGUAAGAGCAUGUAAACCGGCGUUAUGAGGGUAGCCCGCCCAAGCCGGAGGGUAGCUCGCUGGAGCCACACCGGUGACGGGUGGCGUAGAUAAAUGACAAGCGCCUCUCUCGGGAGGUACAGAACCCGGCUUAUAGGCCGACUGCUUUC